ensembl:lncRNA
AGCUAAUACAAGACAAUGGGAAAUAUGUCCGACAUGAUGUAGACGAUGUCAGCACCAAAAUUAGUAAAUAUCAGACGGACUUUGUGACAACCACAACAAUAAACUCAUUCAGAAAUUUUGGGGGCACUAUGGAGUCAACUGGCCAAAACCUAAAAGAAAUGACCAAAGGAUUAUAAAAUUUGGGCAAAGUGUGAUGAGUAUGCCAAAUUUCCCUGAUUUUCAUGCACUACAAGGGUGUCAAAUUUGCGUUCAAAACCUUGGUAGCGCUAUGGAGCUCAGGCAGCACACCUAUCCUAAACGACAAUAUCAAGUGAAAAAUUGACCUAAUAGAAAUGUAAAGUUUGAUGCAUUUUCAGCCAUUGUAAGCCUCUCAAAACAACGUGUUUGAAAACCCGACAUUCCAGCCAACAUGGCAGACUUCCUGUUGAGCAGAGUCAGAUACAACCAAGUGAAACUUGUUGUACAUGAGUGCAACAACCAUACCAAAUCUUCUGCUCCUCCGAGAAAAUUAAUCAAAUUCCAUUCCACCUUUCGGGGGCACUAUGGAGCUGCUAAACCACAACCAAGUCUUUUUACUACAUGUUUUAAUUUUCACCAGGUAUAACAUAUCAGGUCUGCUGAAUUUCAUUCAUAUUGAAGCAUCACAAAUGCCUCAAACAUUAGUGAAAGUGCUAAAUAAAAUAAUAAUGAUAAACACACACAAAACAAUAGGGCUUUGCACCUUUGGUGCAGGCCGCUCUGCUGAAGCCUACCAGGUUUAAUUACAAUUGAUCAAAGGAUGGCCGAGAUACAGCCUCUGAUCCAAUUUUGCGUCAACAUCGUUAAAUUUGCGACAUCAUAACUUUUGAACAUGUAUGAAUAUAAAAAUUGUUUAGCUGUUUGAACGAUGAGUAAUGAAAAAACUGUGUAUCUGUACAUUUCAAAGUGGUGACUACUGUAAUGGAUGGAGUCUUAAUGUAAGAUAUGGAUUGUGAUCAGCAUGAGGAGAGAAAUCUGUUCGACUAAAUUUCUUUUCUCUAGGACAAACUGUUCAACAAUUAUAACUAUUUGAAAAGUGAAUGUUUGAACUAGUGGUGGCACGAUACAGUUGGUCCUAGAGAUCCCAUGAUUGGUCCAGAUACUACUCAUGGUCAUAUCUAUGCCUGUGCCAAAUUUCAUCAUUUUCCUCCUUACAGAUCAUAGGGCUGCCAUAGACUCCUAUUAGGGAAGAAGAAGAAGAAGCAGAAUAAUAAUAAUAUAGCUGCAAACAACGAUUAAUGGGGUCAAGCCCCAAAGGCACAGCGAGCGCAAUGUGGAGCCUGAAGAACACAAAGAGGUGAAAUAGAAUGUACAUGAAUGAAUGAAUAAACUGAACUGAAGCUUGUUGUUUAUCAUAGUGCACCACACGGAGAAUGCACGUUUAUUUUGAUGCUGAAGAGAGCUUCCAAGAUCAUCUGAGCCAAUUUUGCUACGAAUUGAACAAAAUUCAUCAUUUUCCUACUUAAGAUUCAUAGGGCUGCCAUAGACUUUCACUGAGGAAGAAGAAGAAGAAUAGGAAAACUAACGGAUACAAUAGGUGCCUACACAUCUUUGGUGCUUGGCCCCUAAUAAUAGGAAAACUAACAGAUACAAUAUGGGCUGACCCCUAAUAAACGGAGCAGAUCCAAUAGGGCCUCUCACCAUCGGUGCUCAGGCCCUAAUAAUAAUAAGUAGAGAUGCACUGAUGUAUAGUUUGAAAACAUCCGAUGAUCAGGGCCGAUUAUAUCCUGUCAAUCAAAAGAGGGUGGGAAAACGCAUCAAUUUCAUGCUGUGUGUAAAGAUGAUGUCUCUUGUGUGGAAUGACGACAAAACUGCAGUUUGUAAGCUCUGCACCUCAAAAAUUUUACACCGGAAGUGAGCAGCACUGAAGCGGCGUCGAGUCUAAUUCCCCCUAAUAACCCCCCCACCCCAGCGCUACUCCUGCGCUUCUCCUGCUUUUCAAGCAUGAAUUGCCUGUUUAAGGUUCUGCCACAGCAUCUAAGUCGGUUCAAGUCAGAACUUUGACUAGGCCACUCCAAAACUUUAAUUUAGCUUUUUUUUGAGCUGUUCAGAGGUGGACUUACUCCUGUGCUUUGGAUCAUUGUCUUGAAUUAUUGUCUAUACUUGUGUAGACCUGUGCUGUUAAUUUAUGCAGUUGACGUUCAACUUUAAAACGUCUACAAAUACAGUCUGGUCAUAAGUAUUUGGACAGCCACACAAUUUUUAAAAAUCAUUUUUAGAAGACCACGGAAGACAACUAAAGUGGGUGAUUGCAGAAUUCUUUCCUUGGUGAAGACAAACCCCUUCACAAUACAUCGCCAAGUCAAGAACACUCUUGAGGAGGUAGGUGCAUCAUUGACAGUCUACAACCAAUAAACACCUUCAUGAAUGUAAAUAUGGAGGUUUUACUUCAAAAUGCAACCCACAGGUAACACUCUAGAACAGAAAGACUAGAUUAGACUGCUAGAAAACAUCUUAAAAAAAAAAAAAAGCCUGCUCACUUCUAGAACAACUUUGGACAGAUGAAACCAAGAUUAACUCGUACCAGGAUAAUGGGAAUGCUAUAUAUAUAUAUAUUUUUUUUGUGGUAAACCACCUGAAUUAAAACUGAAUGGAAUGUCUACACUUAAGUCACAUCUUGAUUGCUUAAUUUCAGGACCAUUAUGGUGGUGUACAGAGGCAAAAUUACAAAACCUUUUUCACAGUCCAAAUACUUAUGGACCCAAAUGUAAAUAUUCCUGUUAACUGAUUAAAAAUCGAAUAGUCUUUUUAGUUAUUAAUUGACUUUUUAGUAAACAAUGAAAAUUGAAAUGUCAAUAGCAGUAAAACGCUUAAAGACUGAGGGGUCUUAUUUUGGUUUGUUUGUUCAUUUAACCUAGAGCAAAAAAUACCACCGAUUUGUGAAAAUCAGCUGAACAUAAAGCAGUUAAAUAAAAACAAUUUACAGCUACUUUUUUAGGGUAGACCAGCAACUGUCCAUAAUAUUGAUUGAAUUGAUUGAAUUUGACCCUUUCUUGUAUGGUAGAUAUUUUGAUGUAUUACAGUGGGCAGUUCGGCAUCUACUGUUUACCUCUACUUGUUGUGGCUUAACAUUGAAUCUGGCCCUUUCCAGUAUGGUAGAAGUUUUGAUGUAUUGUAGUGGGCAGUGUAGCAUCCACAGUGUUACUUUACUUGGGCCAAAAGCUAUAUAGCUAGAACUUACUGUAUGAUGUUGGACUGGUGCCAAAAGAAUAAUCAGUGUUAGUUUUCUUAUGCCAAAGGUUCACAUUCUUUGUGUGGUGGAAAAAGGCUCUAGGCUCCCUGUAUUUUUAAUUGUAUAGAUAGUGGAUAUAGUCUUUUCUAACUUUGUCACUUCCUUUGACAGUGAGCUACUUUUUCUGGUUGCUCUUUGAUGCAUCUGUUAUUUCUAUUUAAGCGGCUAAAUAUAAACUGUCAGAGGGGAUUUAUUUUUUAUGAAUAAAUAAGCAUGUUUACAUAAGACAACACAGGAAUAUUUAACACACAUGGGUAAAAAACCUUGUCUUUGUUCAUUCUGUCACUGAAAGUUCUAGGUGUGACUGAGUUAUUGAAUUUGUCAAGUAUGGUGAUCAUCACAAAUGACUGCAAAUAAAUAUCAUCUUUUACCUAUUAUUAUUAUUAUUAUUAUUAUUAUUAUUACUACUACUACUACUACUCAUUUUCAUUAUAUUAUUUGAUUUUGAACAUUUGCUUAUAAUGUAGUAAAUAUUAUUGACCAAACGGGAGAUGUGUAUGGUCUGUGUAUUUUUUGCUUGCAUGUCCUCCAAGCAAGAUGAUGGUUUAAAGACCACAGUGUAUUCGUUACUUGUGUAGUGUUGGCAGUUUGUAAAAGCAAUUUUCCCUUUAGCAUUUGACUUGAUAUUAAAUCUCUAACUUCAAGUGAGCAGAAUUGGAUUAGUUUUAUUCAUGCACUUAAAUGGGUAGCCUUAGAGACAACUGUAAUGGAAAUUAUUUUAACAUUUCUUCACUGAUGUACUAGGGAUUGGAUUAUACUAACUACAGAAGCCCUAUCCAGUAAUGUACUUAAAAAUAAAUAAAUAAAUAAAUUAAAAAAUAAAUAAAUUACCAUUAAUUUUAUUUGCCUUGUGGCCAACCCUAUUGGAUAUACUCUAUGAUAUGAGUGUCAAUAAUGAGGACAUUUUGCAUGUUUGCAGUUACACCCCAAUAGAUAUAAAUUAAAGUAAUAUUUAUGAACAGUUAGUACCCAUGUGAAGUGGGCAGCAGUAUAGGUAGCAACAUUUUGAAAUAAUUAAUGGAAUCAGUUACUGAAAUCAAUUUCAGUAAAUAGAUGCUCAGUUUCUACUUGAAGCCACACACACACACACAUUUUCUCUUAAUUUCCUUGUAAGAACCUUCCACUGAUUAUAAUUAUUAUUGAGGCCAAUUAAUGCUACAGCCUCAUAUAACCCUAACCAAAAACCCAGUAACCAAAAGGAAACAUUUAGGCUUUUUUUUUCUUCUUUUUUUUUUUUUUUAAAGAUUUUUUUUUUUUUAAAAAGAAAGUAGUUGUGGUUUUAGUAGGGGGGAGCAGUAUUGCUUGUAGGGACCAACCACAAAAUCAAAAAGUCACAUAUCUCUGUCCUUGUGUGGAUAUCUGGUCCCCACCAAUAUUUAGCAUAAAACAUGUGUAAUAUAUAAUACAAGAUGCAAACCACAAACUGACAUACUUGAGUUACUGCUUUGCUACUGGAAAAUGUAGUUAAACUAAUAGUUCUGAUAAUACUGUUAGAUCAGACUGUUGGAAACUCCGAAGCAAAGACCAGGAAACUCUGGUAAAGCUUCAGCAGGAUUAUUUAUUGUAGAACACCAGGAGCAUCAGUCUACAGGUAAGAACGUGCUAUCUUGCACUACAGUCAUCAAGUCUGAAAGCAAUAAGCUAUACAUUGUAGUUUUUUUUUUUAAUACAUUUUGGGGGGCAGUGCUUAGAGGGGGAGACAGAGCACUCAGGUGACGACCUUAAACAAUGUAUGCAAAGGAACCCACCCCAGGCUCUGGAGUUUCACCAGUCCUAAUCCAAUCAGCAUAAUUAUAUAACUCAGACAACUUCAUUGUCAUAGAGAUAAAGAAAAGUCCACACCUAGGUACUAAACAUUUACACUUAAGUAAAGUAUUGAUGAUCAUGAACAAUGGCCAAUAAUUCAAAGAAUGGGACCGGGGCACCAAGAGCCAUCACAGACAAAAAGUGAUAGCCUCAGUUACCAUGUUUUUAAAUUUGUAUUCCCACAAGACUCUCCGGCUAGGAAUUUUUGGUAUCCAUCAUCAGUGUCCGUGAAUGAUGCAUGUUUGUAUACUUUAAGCAUUUAAAUAAACAUAAAUAAAAUAGUCAACAGGCACCAUGAAUGCAACAAACAAUCGAG